rnacentral:rRNA from 1 species
GGUCAAGUGAAUAAGCGCAUACGGUGAAUGCCUUGGCGGCAACAGGCGAUGAAGGACGUGGUAAUCUGCGAUAAGCCUCGGGGAGUCGAUAAACAGACUUUGAUCCGGGGAUUUCCGAAUGGGGAAACCCACCCAACUUGUUGGGUAUCGUUAACUGAAUACAUAGGUUAACGAGGCGAACCCGGGGAACUGAAACAUCUAAGUACCCGGAGGAAAAGAAAUCAACCGAGAUUCCCUUAGUAGCGGCGAGCGAACGGGGAGCAGCCCAUGAAGUCUUUUACGUUUUAAUGGAACAGUCUGGAAAGUCUGGCGAUACAGGGUGAUAGCCCCGUACAUGAAAAAGCGUAUUAGGUGAUCUUGAGUAGGGCGGGACACGUGACAUCCUGUCUGAAUAUGGGGGGACCAUCCUCCAAGGCUAAAUACUCGUUGCCGACCGAUAGUGAACUAGUACCGUGAGGGAAAGGCGAAAAGAACCCCGGAGAGGGGAGUGAAAUAGAUCCUGAAACCGUGUGCGUACAAGCAGUGGGAGCCCGAUUUAGUCGGGUGACUGCGUACCUUUUGUAUAAUGGGUCAGCGACUUACUUUUAGUGGCAAGCUUAACCUUUAUUGGGGAGGCGUAGGGAAACCGAGUCUUAAAUGGGCGUCCAGUCGCUAGGAGUAGACCCGAAACCGGGCGAUCUAUCCAUGGCCAGGGUGAAGGUGGGGUAAUUCCUACUGGAGGCCCGAACCCACUUA